UCAUUUUAAUUUUUAACUCUAUUUGUUGUGGUGCUUUUUUUUUGGUGGUUAUUUUUUAUUUCAUUUUUGGAAAAAAUUUGGGUUUUUUUUUUUUGAAAAAGUGCUUAAAAUUUGGUUUUUGAACUGGAUUAGGACCCAGGUAAACAAAAUUUAUUAAUUCGGGAGUAAAGUUUUUUUUAAACCGAAAAAAUAUUGACUGACUUCGGAUUUUUCUUUGGAACAUGUGUUUUUUGGAGAGCCCUCCCUGUUGCUGGUUUUGUUGGCUCAUGUAUGAUUGUUUAGCUUUUAUUUUUUUUGGAAAGCUAUUUUUGGUUUUAUUUAAAACAGAUAUAUAUUUGGUUUAUGAAUCAGNUAUCAUGUGUUACUAUUAUUAAUUUUUUUCGGAUUUAAUUUUUAUUUUUUUUUGAAGUUGGAAAAGAAAGUAAUUUUUUUUUUAUGUAUUAAGNAAUUAAAAACGGCAGU
rnacentral:rRNA from 1 species